GAAGCCGAGCGCCAUAGCCGCCGUCGCCGAGCCAUCCGCCGCGCCAAGUCCUCCCCGCCGCGUCCGAGCUCGCCGCCAGCUUCGCAGUAGCGGGAGGAACUCGUUUUGCUGCUCGCCGAAGUCUCUCCGCCGUCGGAACCGAGUUCUCUCCGCUCGCCGGAAGCUUCCCCGCCCGUCGGAUUCGCCUCUCCGCCGUCGCAGCCGGAUCCCCGUCGACUUCCGAGCGCCGCCGCCCGCCAUUGUCGUCGCCCGUCGCCGUCAAGACCUCCCCGGCCGUCGACAAGCCCCCGGAGGAGAGCAGAGUGCCAGCAUCCAAGACCAAGUUUUCGAAGAUUCUGAGCAGCCAGCUUACGAAGGCAAGUGUCCUUGAUCACCUUGAUUUAACCAUAGAUCAUUAUAGUUUACUUUUCCUUAGUUGCAUGCUUGUCUAAUUUUGAAUCCCAUGAAUAGGGUUUACUAGAAUUUGUAUGGCCAUUCCUUGUAGCCUUUUUGGGGUUUUGGGUCCUGUAAAAGGGUAGUCAUGCUAGUGCAGUCAUGGAUUAGAAUCAUUAUGAACUUUGAUUAAUAACUAUGGAACAAGUACUUGGGAGAAUUGAUAAUCUUGUAGUAACUUGAAUUUAGGGAUCCCAACUGGAUGGCUAGUAUGUGGUGGAGCUAUACAGCAGGGUUUGUGUAUGUUCUUGUGUGGGAUCCUAAGGACCGGUUCUUGGAGCCUGUAACCUGGCAAAACAGCACAACCAUGGGGCCUAUAUGGGUACGGCCUGGCUAAGUAAUUAGUGUUUUUCGCAUUCUGUACGCACCAAUGGUUGGUUCGGUGGCACAAGAGGGGGCCUCUGCAGUGGAUGGGAUCCCUGUUAGCGGUGAAACCUUAGUGGGUGCUUAUAGAUGUGAAGAUACUUUGUAACAGCCUUGUAGUGAGACCCCGGCCAUACACCCCGGAAGUGUAAGGCAAAAAGGGAAUCACGACUCGUGGGUAAAGUGUGCAAACUCUGCAGAGUAAAUAACUGAUCGAUCAGCCGUGCUCACGGUCAAGAGCGGCUUGGACUUCUUCAGGAUUAGAU